AAAAUUGUUAAAUUUCAAUCCUAAUUGGAGUUUAUAUCAAAAAUGAGUUUAAAAGUAUAAGGAAUAUGUAGGAUAGAGUCUAUUAACAUUUAUUUUUACCAAAUAUUUUUUUUCCCUAAUUUAAUUUGUUUUAAAUCAUUUGUAAGAGUUCAUUAUCUCUUGAUAGUCUAUGUAAUAUAUGGUGUUGGAAAAAAACAUAAAUUCGAAUUUCAAUAUCAUCAAUAGUUAUACUUGUUGUACCAGUAUUGCAUUAUUUCUUCAAUUGUUAUACUAGUAUUACCAUUAUUGCAUAAUUUCUUAAUUAGUUAUACUAGUAUGACCCUUAUGCCAAUGAAUCAAAUACUACGAGUGCCAAAUAACAACCAUUGCAGCGACUGCCUCGGCCUCCUUUUGUUCUGAGUCUUUUGAAGUUUUGGACGUCUUUUUCUAGUGGAUGAAAACCUAAGAACCUUUGUUCUACCCUUCUUCUUUUUCCGAGGUAGAGGUAAUACUUUCAACGCUUUGAUGUCUUCCGGGAUAUCCUACUGUGAUCUAUCCGGGACUAAAUAAAUAGUCUUAUAAUACGCCAAUGACUACCACUCCGCCCAAUAAUACUUUAAAACCAAUUAAUGUAAUUCAAUACUUCGAGUUCUUGUUGUAUAUCUCUCGAAGGCAAUGAAAGCGGCUAAUGCUUGAACACAAGGAUACUUUUGGAUAUCGAACACCUUGCAACUGCAAGUUGAUCAAAUAUUUGUUUUCUUCAUCUCUUCGGACAUUGUAUUCCAGCGGAAUGUGUUUAGCUCUAUGACUUUUAGUUUCUCAGCAUCAACCCAGAAAUCAACUACUUGAUUGAUGUUCAGAUGAUGAUGUUAUUGUAGGUGAAGGAGAAUUCUGCUCUGCUGAACAAAUGUAAUCCCUUUAUUCCAGCAAAUUUAAUGUUUUAGUUAUUUUCUUUGUUCCAAAAAGUUUGAUUUUCUACUGUUUAUUUAGUAUAUCUGUUUAAUUAAU
rnacentral:sRNA from 1 species